AUCGGGAAGUGACAUCAUUCACCGUCGACUGGAACUUAAACAGUAGGAAAGUGAUACAGCUAAACACAUUAGGAGUUAAGUUAACGCUUGCUGUUUUGUAAACUAUUACAACUGCACUCACGGCGUUGAAAACAGCGCAGUUUUCAGUUUUUUUGUUUUUGUUUGGAAAUAACUCGCGUUGGAACUCUGGGCUCAGAGCGGCAUCACUUAGCAUGUGAAACUUCGGGAUGGAUAUCAUCACCUUCUGCAACAUUCCUCUACACGUUUGUUUGUUUGUUUGUGGUAUUCGUUUUCACAGUACUCCGAAGUCAAAGCGAGGACAUGACAUUUAUUGACAACACUGUGACCGUGUGAUGCAUCAUGAUACUGUUGUAAACCAUAACAAAACAUGUUCACUUUGUAUGAAUAAGCAGCAUCCUGCAUUAUCAUUGUUGUUCAUUAUGCAUAUAACAAGUUAAUAAAUGACAAAUGUACGUAAAUUCUACAUCUUUUUAUUUGUGUAUCAUAACAUAGUGAGACAAAGACAAACGUGCUCCAGUGUUUUAGUGAGUUUGCUGGACGCAGCAGGCACGUGCAGAGGGGGGGCUUGAGCCCAGGCCCAUUUUCUUCCUCGAGAGAAAGUGCCACUUUUCUGGGAUUUGUUUUAUAAAUUGAUAUAUGAAUGUGCACGCGUAUGUGUUUCUGUUUGCGCACGGCUUUCCUUGUCAAACAAUUAGAAAAUGUCAGUUCAGGUCGGGAAAUGUUGAGAGUUCCGAUGCCUUUCUCCCAUCCGCGUCAGGCGCAGCACAGCUGUGUGUGUAGCACGUUUGGCACAUCAGGCAGAGAGCCACAGAAGUGAAGACCUCCCUCCUUUCCAGUAGCAUUUUGGUGGAGAAGGUGCUCGUUGCAGAGCCAAGGGGGUGGAGCAAAGCUCCAGCUCCCCCUCGUGGGACCUAGUGGGCGGAGCUUGAGCGACUCCGUGUACAAGCCAUCGGAACUUACACAAUUUGCAUCGCACGAUUUGACCAUCAUCAAGUCUGGUCUAAACUGCAGACCAUCACCACAUUUUCACUGCUGCUAUUGAACUUCAACAGUAAUCAGACAGGCUGGUAUUAUUAAAGAUUUUAAAACCUUUAAAAACAUCCGGACAGCCUCCAUUGCCAGCAGCCACCACCAUCCCUAUAGCAUCAGCAGCACCACCUCCAUCAACAGCAUCUGCAGCACCACCUCCAAAAAGAUUACGUGUCCGGCAACAAAUCAGGGUGACUUGCACACACUUUGGAAUUCAGAUAUAUCAAAGGAACUUGCUGGUUCAUAUUAACAGAAGACACUGGCAAAAAGUAACUGAAAUUUCAGCAAAACAACACCUGUAAUGUAAAUACAUUAAAACCAGAAAUGGCAUCUGAAUUCACUCUAAUAAUAUGCACAUGUUUGGAGUUUAUACUAACACAAAUGAAUGUCUGUGUUCUUAUGAAAACCAACUUGUUUUAUUCUGUAUUUAUUUUUAAAUGAACUAGCUACAAAAUUAUUUUUUUACAGGUGUGAGGAGUGAUGGAACAAUACUUCUGUGAUUUCAUGAACUGAACUGUGUCAUGCAUUAUUAGGAUUAUAUAGGAAGGGGACGUUCUCUUUAAAACCAUAACAUUUUUAUUGCAAUAUGAUGAAUUUUGUCUUUAUUUGGAUUUGAAUGCCCAUAUUGUUAUUUAAUCUGUGUAUUGUUUUGUUGUAUUUCUUUAGAAAAUUGGUGAAUUCCAUUUCUCCAGGCCAUUGGAACAUGUCUGUACUGACAGAUUUUGAGGCUCUCUGUUAUGCUCUCAAGGCCAUUUGGUUUUGCUUUGGACUCAGCGGUCAUGAGAAAUAUUCAUCUGGCCUGUGAGUGGGUGGAGGAGAACCAACGCCACUUUGCUGGGAAGAUUGAACUGCCAAAGAUUUUAAGAAUGAAGGAGGAUGAUCACAAUGUGUGACUUAUUUAUAAACACAUUAUAUGAAGGUGACAUAGACGAAGAAGAAAUCCGGGCUCCUUUCUUAUUCUCUUUUCAGAGACGAGAGGACAUGGAAUUUGCAGGAAAUACGAGACAAAAGAAAUAUCCGUGUGUCUUGUUUCUUCAACCCUGACUUGUGAAUAUUGUGGGAUGUUGUAAAUAUUGUAUGUAAAUAUCAUUUUGUUUUUGUAA